GCCACGAUCAAUGGUUGGAGCAACUUUUUUGAAGUUCCUAGCAGGUACUAUUAAGCUCCUAGUGUUGUUUGAAAUUUUGUGAGAAAAAAUUUAAAAAAGAAAAGAAAAUCAUUUCAUGUUCUAAUACUUUCUGUAUUAUUUUAUCUACUCCAUAAGCAGAAAUUUUGCAGCUCUUCACUUUAGAAAGUACACCUUCAGGAUAAUUCAAUUAAU
rnacentral:misc_RNA from 1 species